CCCUGAUGCUAAAGGUACCACUAGUGUCCCCAGGCUUUCUGCUGAAGAUGAUUUACUAUGGGCAACCAGUAAGCCCAUAGCUGGAGGGCUCGCAAGAAGAAGCAGUGCAGCUCGGCCGAGAUCCUCCCCGGGGGCUGCCCUCCAAUCUUCACCCCGGUGGCCGGGUGACAGUGGCAAAGCCCAGAUUCAAAGAGGGAAGCUCGCGCCUUCGGCACCAACCUUGGUAGGGGGCACAGGCUGCCGCCGUCCGGCCGGCGACCACCACCCUGGCCCAGCCCGGAACCCUCUAGGUGAUUCCACUGUGCAGCAAAGUGGCUAGACGGAGGUAUUACUAGCUGAUUCACCUGAGAAAGUUCAAGUUCACUGCCACCGGGGAUUGAAGCAGGCGGCCGCUUGGCCCUAUUCGACCCGAUUUCAGGGUGAGGGUGUUUUAUUAGUGGUAUUUAGGUGGUAAGUAGCAGCGAGGAGUGUGUGAACAAGAUUCUGAGAGACAUACGGAGACGCUGGAAAGGGUCAACCAGCUCAACACAAACAGGGCCUCUGCCUGUUUACACGGUUCCCUACACUGGCUUCAAGGAGGCUGCAUUAAAGAUUCAGGGAGGGCAGGAGUUCCCGUCGUGGCUCAGUGGUUAACGAAUCCGACUAGGAACCAUGAGGUUGCGGGUUCAGUCCCUGGCCUUGCUCAGGGGUUAAGGAUCCGGCGUUGCAGUGGGCUGUGGUGUAGGUCGGCGGCUACAGCUCCGAUUAGACACCUAGCCUGGGAAUCUCCAGGAAGAGGACCUGAAAAUGACAAAAAAAAAAAAAAAUUAAGGGAGGGCAGACCUGUGUUUGCCAAAGGAGUGUGCGGGAGAGAGGGAGACUGACCGGGAGUUUGGAGUUGGUGGAUGCAGACUGUUAUGAUUAGAAUGGAUGGUUGAUGGGGUCCUACUGUACACCCCAGGGAACUGUGUCUGGUCUCUUAAGCUACAACAUGAUGAAAAAAGAAAAAAAAAAAAAAAAAGAAUGCGAAUGUGUAUGUAUGGGUGGCUGGGUCACUUUGCCAUACAACAGAAAUUGAAGGAACAUUGUAAAUCACCCAUAAUUAAAAAAAACAAAAACUUUUAAGUUAAAAAGGCGGGGAGGGGGGAAUUCCCUCUGUGCUUAGUCUUUUAAAAGUGCUCUACUUCCAGGUGGACCUGUCAUUUUGGGCAUCCUCUCAUCCCUAUCCCUAAAAAUAAGCCCACUGUUUUCUUUAUCUUGCCACUCAGGUUUCUUUUCAUUCCCAAGUGCACACCAUCAGAAUUGCUUGCCCACCUCUGAUGCAGAUCUAGUCCAUGGUGAACAUCAAAACCAGGUUAUUACUCUCCCUGAAAUAAAGCUGUCUUCAUGUCCCCAUGUGGCAGACCUUGAGCAGCAGCUGACCACCACAGGAUAAAGUCUCUAUACUUUACCUGACCCUUCUGGCCUUUUUGCCUAGACCUUUAGCUGCAGGUUGGCCUGAUUCCAAAACCCCUGUAACGCCACCUUCCUCCCUCUUAAAAAAAAAAAAAAAAAAAAAUCGCCAAACUGUUCCCAUCUGGAUCCACAAAGCCUUCGCACUGCUUCAGCCCACAGCAACCUUCCCUAACCCGGAACUCCUAGAGAGGUGUUGCUAGUACACCUCAUUUGACAGUCAAAUACUGUACCAAGACAGGAAUUGAAUCUUGACCCUUUGCACACACCCCUGCACCAGCUAACAGAGCAUCUACAAGGGGCGGGAUUGUUAUUGAAGAAUGAGUCAAUUCAGAAAUAGACUAAGGAACACUUUGUCACAAGUUUCUCAAAGUUAGGGUCUGAAAACUACAUGAAUUGCAAUCAUGUGAGAAGCGGUUUUACAAUGCAGACUCCUGGGCUCAGGUCUAGAUCUGGGCUAGGCACAGAAGUGUGCUUUUUAGCCAGAGCCUCUGGUGAUUUUUAGGCUCCAUAAGGUUUGAAACACUUCUCCAAAUAAAGGUAAAAGAAACUCUUGAAUUUGCCCUAGGGAUAUGUUUCUCCAACUGAGGUGGUGGAUGAUUUCAGGCCAUUUUCCACUACUUACCAUCAGAUAUGUAGGAAAAUCACCCCACCUGCAAAGUGUAUGAAGCUUUAAUAGAAAUGCUUAAUGGCACUGCUAAUAUUGCUAGUGCAUAACAGGGAGGCCACUGAGGUCCUGGGGAGUUACUGCAAUGAAUGUUUCAUAGCAAAUGGAGCGUGUUGCCUUUUUCAUACAGAAACAUGUUACUUGCCUAUUUAAAAAAUUCAGUAAGUUUCUGUUGGUUUUUUCACAGUUAACCUCUAUUUUUGGCAAGCAAGACUGAUUUUAUAAUCCUCAUCAAGCAGUGAUUAUGUAAAAUUUCACUUCCAAGUAAAUUUAAAUAAAAAAGAACAUAGAGUAUGUGAGAAAUAGUAAGACACCAGAAAGAUGUGGCCAAAAGCAUGAAGGAAGUAUAUGAAUGGCUGAGCUUUGGAGAUAAUUUGCUAAGGAAAAAAACUAGUGACUCGUUUAAAAUUUGUGAAAGCUUAAUAGGAAAAGAAUACUGAUGUAUUAUCCUUCAACUCUAGAGAAAGCAGAACUGGAGACUGUCCUGUCUUCUUUAGUUAAAAAGCUGCUUCAUUGAUGGAUGUGUUAACUUGACUAUGGUAAUCAUUUCACAAUGUAUAUUUAUAUCAAGUUAUGCAUUAUACACUUUAAAUAUAUACCUCAAAAAAUGAAAAAAGAAAAGAAAGCUGCCUCAGAUUUGUUAAGCCCUGGAACUGGCUUUUGGAUAGAGUAGAAAUAGUUCUGCUUCUUGAAGAAUUUAAAAAUUAACUGUGGCAAUGAGGUGUCAAAAAAAAAAAAAAAAAGAAUUAACCAUCAUCUUUCUUAAAAUCCAGAGCAGAGCAUAGACUUGGA